GACGAACGCUGGCGGCGUGCUUAACACAUGCAAGUCGAACGGAAAGGCCCUGCUUUUGUGGGGUGCUCGAGUGGCGAACGGGUGAGUAACACGUGAGUAACCUGCCCUUGACUUUGGGAUAACUUCAGGAAACUGGGGCUAAUACCGGAUAGGAGCUCCUGCUGCAUGGUGGGGGUUGGAAAGUUUCGGUGGUUGGGGAUGGACUCGCGGCUAAUCAGCUUGUUGGUGGGGUAGUGGCUUACCAAGGCUUUGACGGGUAGCCGGCCUGAGAGGGUGACCGGCCACAUUGGGACUGAGAUGCGGCCCAGACUCCUACGGGAGGCAGCAGUGGGGAAUAUUGCACAAUGGGCGGAAGGCUGAUGCAGCAACGCCGCGUGCGGUAUGACGGCCUUCGGGUUGUAAACCGCUUUCGCCUGUGACGAAGCGUGAGUGACGGUAAUGGGUAAAGAAGCACCGGCUAACUACGUG
rnacentral:rRNA from 1 species